rnacentral:rRNA from 1 species
CCCCUAGAUGUUCUGGGCCGCACGCGCGCUACACUGAACAGUUCAACAAGUCUUAACCUUGGCCGAUAGGUCUGGGUAAUCUUUGAACGCUGUUCGUGAUUGGGAUAGACCUUUGGAAUUAUGGGUCUUCAACGAGGAAUUCCUAGUAAACGCAAGUCAUCAGCUUGCAUUGAUUACGUCCCUGCCCUUUGUACACACCGCCCGUCGCACCUACCGAUUGAAUGGUCCGGUGAAAUCUCGGGACGGCGGCUUGGUCGCUUGCGUCCGACUGCUGAAACUUGAUUAAACCAUAUCAUUUAGAGGAAGGUGAAGUCGUAACA